AGAGUUUGAUCCUGGCUCAGGACGAACGCUGGCGGCGUGCCUAAUACAUGCAAGUCGAACGAAGCUUUCUUUCACCGAAUGCUUGCAUUCACCGAAAGAAGCUUAGUGGCGAACGGGUGAGUAACACGUAGGCAACCUGCCCAAAAGAGGGGGAUAACACUUGGAAACAGGUGCUAAUACCGCAUAACCAUGAACACCGCAUGAUGUUCGUGUAAAAGACGGCUUUUGCUGUCACUUUUGGAUGGGCCUGCGGCGUAUUAACUUGUUGGUGGGGUAACGGCCUACCAAGGUGAUGAUACGUAGCCGAACUGAGAGGUUGAUCGGCCACAUUGGGACUGAGACACGGCCCAAACUCCUACGGGAGGCAGCAGUAGGGAAUCUUCCACAAUGGACGAAAGUCUGAUGGAGCAACGCCGCGUGAAUGAGGAAGGCCUUCGGGUCGUAAAAUUCUGUUGUCAGAGAAGAAUGUGCGUGAGAGCAACUGUUCACGUAUUGACGGUAUCUGACCAGAAAGCCACGGCUAACUACGUGCCAGCAGCCGCGGUAAUACGUAGGUGGCAAGCGUUGUCCGGAUUUAUUGGGCGUAAAGGGAACGCAGGCGGUCUUUUAAGUCUGAUGUGAAAGCCUUCGGCUUAACCGAAGUAGUGCAUUGGAAACUGGAAGACUUGAGUGCAGAAGAGGAGAGUGGAACUCCAUGUGUAGCGGUGAAAUGCGUAGAUAUAUGGAAGAACACCAGUGGCGAAAGCGGCUCUCUGGUCUGUAACUGACGCUGAGGUUCGAAAGCGUGGGUAGCAAACAGGAUUAGAUACCCUGGUAGUCCACGCCGUAAACGAUGAGUGCUAAGUGUUGGAGGGUUUCCGCCCUUCAGUGCUGCAGCUAACGCAUUAAGCACUCCGCCUGGGGAGUACGGUCGCAAGACUGAAACUCAAAGGAAUUGACGGGGGCCCGCACAAGCGGUGGAGCAUGUGGUUUAAUUCGAAGCAACGCGAAGAACCUUACCAGGUCUUGACAUCUUCUGACAAUUCCAGAGAUGGAACGUUCCCUUCGGGGACAGAAUGACAGGUGGUGCAUGGUUGUCGUCAGCUCGUGUCGUGAGAUGUUGGGUUAAGUCCCGCAACGAGCGCAACCCUUAUUGUCAGUUGCCAUCAUUAAGUUGGGCACUCUGGCGAGACUGCCGGUGACAAACCGGAGGAAGGUGGGGAUGACGUCAAAUCAUCAUGCCCCUUAUGACCUGGGCUACACACGUGCUACAAUGGACGGUACAACGAGUCGCUAACUCGCGAGGGCAAGCUAAUCUCUUAAAGCCGUUCUCAGUUCGGAUUGCAGGCUGCAACUCGCCUGCAUGAAGUCGGAAUCGCUAGUAAUCGCGAAUCAGCAUGUCGCGGUGAAUACGUUCCCGGGCCUUGUACACACCGCCCGUCACACCAUGAGAGUUUGUAACACCCAAAGUCGGUGGGGUAACCUUUUGGAGCCAGCCGCCUAAGGUGGGACAGAUGAUUGGGGUGAAGUCGUAACAAGGUA
rnacentral:rRNA from 1 species